rfam:Triticum aestivum genome assembly, contig: Triticum_aestivum_CS42_TGACv1_scaffold_526537_6DL
GUUGUACUCUCUUUGUCCGGAAAUACUCGUCGAAGGAAUAGAUAUAUUUAGAUGUAUUUUAGUUCUAGAUACAUUCAUUUUUAUGCAUUUCUCCGACAAGUAUUUCCGGACUGAGGAAGUAUGUG